UGGGGAAUAUUGCACAAUGGGCGAAAGCCUGAUGCAGCAACGCCGCGUGAGUGAUGAAGGUCUUCGGAUUGUAAAGCUCUGUCUUUUGGGACGAUAAUGACGGUACCAAAGGAGGAAGCCACGGCUAACUACGUGCCAGCAGCCGCGGUAAUACGUAGGUGGCGAGCGUUGUCCGGAUUUACUGGGCGUAAAGGGUGCGUAGGCGGAUGUUUAAGUGAGAUGUGAAAUACCCGGGCUUAACUUGGGUGCUGCAUUUCAAACUGGAUAUCUAGAGUGCAGGAGAGGAGAAUGGAAUUCCUAGUGUAGCGGUGAAAUGCGUAGAGAUUAGGAAGAACACCAGUGGCGAAGGCGAUUCUCUGGACUGUAACUGACGCUGAGGCACGAAAGCGUGGGUAGCAAACAGGAUUAGAUACCCUGGUAGUCCACGCCGUAAACGAUGAGUACUAGGUGUAGGAGGUAUCGACCCCUUCUGUGCCGCAGUAAAACACAUUAAGUACUCCGCCUGGGAAGUACGAUC
rnacentral:rRNA from 1 species